AACGAACGCUGGCGGCAGGCCUAACACAUGCAAGUCGAACGCCGUAGCAACACGGAGUGGCAGACGGGUGAGUAACGCGUGGGAACCUUCCCUAUGGUUCGGAAUAGCUCAGGGAAACCUGGGGUAAUACCGGAUAAGCCCUUCGGGGGAAAGAUUUAUCGCCAUUGGAUGGGCCCGCGUAGGAUUAGCUAGUUGGUGAGGUAAUGGCUCACCAAGGCGACGAUCCUUAGCUGGUCUGAGAGGAUGAUCAGCCACACUGGGACUGAGACACGGCCCAGACUCCUACGGGAGGCAGCAGUGGGGAAUAUUGGACAAUGGGCGCAAGCCUGAUCCAGCCAUGCCGCGUGAGUGACGAAGGCCUUAGGGUUGUAAAGCUCUUUUGGCGGGGAAGAUAAUGACGGUACCCGCAGAAUAAGCUCCGGCUAACCUCGUGCCAGCAGCCGCCGUAA
rnacentral:rRNA from 1 species